rnacentral:rRNA from 1 species
UACAGAGACUGCAAGCGUUAUUCGGAUUCACUGGGCGUAAAGGGUGCGCAGGCGGCCAAGUGUGUGAGGCGUGAAAGCCCGAAGCUUAACUUCGGAAUUGCACCUCAAACUACAUGGCUAGAGCAUUGGAGAGGGAUGCGGAAUUCCAGGUGUAGCGGUGAAAUGCGUAGAUAUCUGGAGGAACACCGGUGGCGAAGGCGGCAUCCUGGACCGACACUGACGCUGAGGAGCGAAAGCCAGGGGAGCAAACGGG